rnacentral:rRNA from 1 species
UACGAAGGGGGCUAGCGUUGUUCGGAAUUACUGGGCGUAAAGCGUAUGCAGGCGGACUUUUAAGUCGGGGGUGAAAUCCCGAGGCUCAACCUCGGAACUGCCUUCGAUACUGGAAGUCUUGAGUCCGGGAGAGGUGAGUGGAACUCCGAGUGUAGAGGUGAAAUUCGUAGAUAUUCGGAAGAACACCAGUGGCGAAGGCGGCUCACUGGCACGGUACUGACGCUGAGAUACGAAAGCGUGGGGAGCAAACAGG